GCAGCGAUAGCUCAGCGGCAGAGCGCAGGAUUGCAGUCACAGCAUCUAUCCCGAGGUCCCCGGUUCAAUCCCGGGUCGUUGCU